rnacentral:rRNA from 1 species
UACGAAGGGUGCAAGCGUUGUUCGGAAUGACUGGGCGUAAAGGGCGCGUAGGCGGUUUUGUACGUCUGAUGUGAAAGUCCUGGGCUUAACCUAGGGACGGCAUUGGAUACGGCAGAGCUAGAGAGCGAGAGAGGGAGACGGAAUGGUGCGUGUAGAGGUGAAAUUCGUAGAUAUGCACUAGAACACCAGAGGCGAAGGCGGUUUCCUGGCUCGCAACUGACGCUAAGGCGCGAAAGCGUGGGGAGCAAACAGG